GAAAUGCUUCACAUCCUCUUCAAUGAUAUAUGAAGGAGUCAAAUCAGUACCACCUCCAAACCACCAUUGCCUUGGUGCACCAGGAGCAUCUUUCGGUGCAUCUGUCUCAAAAUAGCGGUAGUUAAAAUGCAAUGUUGGAGCAAAUGGGUUCUUGGGGUGAAGAACCGAGCUAAUGCCAGCGGCAAAGAAGGGCACGGGCCCAGCCUUGGGGCCAUCUGCCGCCGCGCCGUUCUUGCCGGCCUCCCCCUUGGCGGCGCGGUACGCGUCGGGGGGCAUGACGCCGUACACGACGGAGACGUUGACCCCGGCCUUCUCGAACACGCGGCCGUCCUGGAGCACCCGGCUGAUGCCCCCGCCGCCGCCGGGGCGCGACCACACGUCCUCCACGAACCGGGCGCCGCUCCCGUCGGCCUCCUCCAGCGCCGCGCACACCUCCCCCUGCACGCGGCGGAUCAUGGCCUCGAACCGCUCCCGCACCGACCCGGACCCCGCCCCGGACCCGUCCUCCCGCAGGAACGUCGGCGGCGGCUCGCUCUCGG
rnacentral:misc_RNA from 1 species